GCGAACCACCGCGGUGACUACCCUGUAGCAGACGCCGCUAACCGCUUACUGGCCCGACCAUCUUUCCUGCUUUCUCUAGCCAUAAUAAUGACCACUCGAAUUGCUCCUGGUGUGGGAGCGAAUUUGCUGGGCCAACACUCGGCUGAGAGGAAUCAAGACGCCACCGCUUACGUCGGCAAUCUUGAUCCUCAGGUGACUGAAGAAUUGCUCUGGGAGUUAUUUGUUCAAGCAGGCCCUGUUGUUAACGUGUACGUUCCAAAGGAUAGAGUAACCAAUCUUCAUCAAGGAUAUGGAUUUGUGGAAUUCCGUAGCGAAGAAGAUGCUGACUAUGCAAUUAAGGUUUUGAAUAUGAUUAAGCUUUAUGGGAAGCCAAUACGUGUAAAUAAGGCAUCGCAAGAUAAGAAGAGCUUGGAUGUAGG
rnacentral:misc_RNA from 1 species